AGUUUUAUGAAAUUUACAUAAAAUAACUCCUGCUCAGUGGAUAUAAACAGCCGCAGAAUUUUUAUACUGUGCUAAGGUAGCAUAAUCACUUGUUUUUUAAUUAAAGAAUAGAAUGAACGGAAAAACGAAUUUCAGCCUGUUUCAAUUAUUUUUAAUAAAAUUACCAAAAAGUAAAAACACUUUUUCAGAAAAAAAAGACGAUAAGACCCUAAAGAACUUUAACUUUAGUUAAGCUGGGGCGGCUUUUUAAAAAAAUUUUAAUUACCCAUUUACUACCCCUAACAAUAUUUUCAAUGUUACCUUAGGGAUAACAGCAUAAUCUAAUUUAAUAGCUCUGAUUCAAAAUUAAGAUUAUGACCUCGAUGUUGAAUUAAAAAUUUACUAAACGAAAAAAAUUAGUAAGAAAGUCUGUUCGAGUUUUAAUUAAUUAC
rnacentral:rRNA from 1 species